rnacentral:misc_RNA from 1 species
GAUGAAGAACGUAGCGAAAUGCGAUAAGUAAUGUGAAUUGCAGAAUUCAGUGAAUCAUCGAAUCUUUGAACGCACAUUGCGCCCGCCAGUAUUCUGGCGGGCAUGCCUGUCUGAGCGUCAUUUCAACCCUCAUGCCCCUAGGGCGUGGUGUUGGGGAUCGGCCAAAGCCCGCGAGGGACGGCCGGCCCCUAAAUCUAGUGGCGGACCCGUCGUGGCCUCCUCUGCGAAGUAGUGAUAUUCCGCAUCGGAGAGCGAUGAGCCCCUGCCGUUAAACCCACAACUUUCCAAGGUUGACCUCAGAUCAGGUAGGAAUACCCGCUGAACUUAAGCAUAUCAAUAAGCGGAGGA